UAGGAAUGAACGGGGCCCCGUCUCCGACGCUGUAUCCAGUUCUCCUUAUACAUCCAUGGAGAUCACUCGUAUCUGCUCUGCUUAUGCGCAGAUCAAUAUUAAAUGAGCAUCGGCUAGAGCAGGACGCUAACUUUGACUCUCUCCCUUAUUAAUCUACAGACUAUGUUUUUAUUGGCUACACAGUGCACCCUUGCCUGUGUCACCUUUGCUGCUGGUCUAGGUCCAGGUCCAAGUCUGGCACCGGUAACACAAGCAAACACUGUUUUGGACGAUGAGGAACUAAGUGCUCAAGCUUGAUGCAGCCACAUAAAUUACAGGUAACACAGUCACUGCUGUUAUGUAUUCAGAGUUGGCAAAGUCCAAUAUAAUAAUCUGUCAGAAAACAAAUGUUUACCAAAGCACUGCGGAGUUGUAAGUCCAUUCCCUCCACACCGGGCAGCCGGUCGAUACUGCAGCAGCCUCCUCAGCUGUGGCACAUAUAUCGGCUGCCACUGUAACGUAGCUCCAGUGGUCACUUCCUCCUUCAUGCUCUCUUAUGUCUGAUUCUACAGUGUGAUAUUCGGCCUUGUAAGUUGUAAUAGUAGCGUCACAUCUCUGGUUAUAUUGUGAAGCUUGGUGUUAGCUUGUGUUAGAAUCAUGGAGAAACUCAUCAGCUCAUUAGCAUUAUCUCUGUUGUGUUUGAUUCAACAGCGUGAUAGUCAAUGUCAUGUCAUGAAACUAGUUUUCUUCCAAAUGUGCUGAUAUUUUAAAGUAUUUAGUAGUAUGAUGUUUUAGUGUCUGCUUUUCCCCGUCGCUGGUGUAACAUGGUAGAUGGAGUCUUUUGGGAGACUCACAUUUUACCGCCUUUGAAGGCACCACUACAGAAAAUGCAGAAACGUAGUUAGUAGUCUAAAGCAGAUCUCCAAAGAAACUCUUGUCGGCAAAUGAGCAGUGAGCUCUGGGUGCAGGCAAUAUGGAGGGAAGUUAAACAUUGUUUAUUUAUUUGCAUACACUAACCACAUUGUAAUUUUACAAUGCUAAUUGAAAAUCAACAAAGUUUCCCUUUAAUUGACAGCUUGGACCUGUGAAAAUCUCCAACUAUCCUUCUGUUUAUCUACACAGCCAGGUUUAUUUUUAUGUAACUAUGGAAAUCAUUUUUAUAAUACCAUUGCAUAAAUACUACACUCAAAGCAUUUACAGCAUUUAAAUGCCAUUUGCUCUGCAUAUUUUUAAAAACGUCCAAUAAAAAAUAUGAAAUGUGAACAUGAACUCCGUCCGUAUACACUUUAUACGCAAUAAAAUCCUUUAUUAUUUAUCAUGAAGAAAAAAAGUCCUUAAACAGUUCGUAUAUCACAGAACAAAUGGCUAGUUGGAUCUAACGGCUGAUGUAUCCGGAACUCCCCUGUUGUCACACAGUAAUUCACACACACAGCUUUUGUAACACUUCUUGCAUGUAGGUUAAUUUUAGUGAAUUGGAAAAGCCCACACCCCCUCACUCACAUUGUUGAGGGAAGUGAUGCACCGUCAAUUGGAGAAGCUCAGAUAUGUGUUCCUGAAAAAUGACAUCAAAAUAUGGCAGCCCUCCCUCAGUUAUGCUAACAGUAUAGAAACCCUGUCCACGCCAAUAUAACAUGUAUUAUUAUACGUUCAUCACAAUAAUGUACAUUUGAUUUCUGUAGCAAUUGUACUGUCUUGUCAUUUUUAUUGAUCCUCAACUUGUAUCUGCCUCUGUUUGUGUAUUAUGUUGCAUUUAUGGUAUUAGUAUGUAAACCAAUAAACAGAGCUUGACACAUUUUA